AAAAAGACAAACCUGGUUUCCGUGUCCAAUGUUUGACAGUCCGUCUUAUUUGAAAAAAAUAUGAAAAAAAUUAAAAAGACAAGUCACGCAUAAAAUAUUAAUCAUGUUUUAUCAUCUAACAACAAUGAAAAUACGAAUUAUAAAAAAAUAUAUAAAACGGACAGUUAAAGUUGGACACGGAAACUCAGGGUUUGCCUUUUU
rfam:Oryza sativa Japonica Group DNA, chromosome 9, cultivar: Nipponbare, complete sequence.